rnacentral:lncRNA from 1 species
AUGGCAGAGGGUAAGGGGAAAGGGGAAUGGGAUUUAGAAUGGGAUUGGAGGGAGAUACAUCAGGGGAAGGGGAAAGGGAAUGGGAAGGGGACUGGAGGGAGAUGCUGCAGGGGAACGGUAAGGGGAAUAGGAAUGGGACUGGAGGGAGAUGCCUCUGGGAAGGGGAAAGGGAAUGGGAAGGGGACUGGAGGGAAAUGCCACAGGAAAGGGGAAAGGGGAAUGGGAUUUGGAAUGGGACUGGAGGGAGAUGCUGCAGGGGAAGGGAAAAGGGAAUGUGAAAGGGAUAGGAGGGUAAUGCUGCAGGGGAGGAGGAAGGGGAAUGGGAAUUGGAAUGGGAGAGCAGGAAGAUGCCUCAGGGGAAGGGGAGAGGGAAUGGGAAGGGGACUGGAGGGAGAUGGCACAGGGAAAGGGGCUAAUGGGAAUGGGACUGGGACUGGAGGGAGAUGCCUCAGGGCAAGGGGAAUGGGAAUUGGAAGGGGACUGGAGGGAGAUGGCACAGGGGAAGCGGAAAGGGGAGUGGGAAUGGGAAUGGGAGUGGUGGGAUACGGCGGAGGGGAAGGGGAAGGGGAAUUGGAAGGGCACUGGAGGGAAAU